CCACCCAGGCUGCCCUGGAUUUCACUUUUGUUUCUGUUUUUGCAUAGGGCAUAAUUAGCAAACAAUAAAAAUGCAUAAAUCGUUAGGUGUUCUGUUGAGUUUUGACAGUUAGAUACAUCUAUGGAACCACCACCUAAAACAAAAUAGAGAGGAGUUCCUUUCAUAUUCUAUCCCAUCAAUUUCUUUCCCCCAGUCAAGCAGCAUUUUCUGAUUUCUAUCACCAUAGAUUUGUUUUGUCUGUUCUUGGAUUCCAUAUAAGUGACAUCAUACAAUAUGUAUUCUAGUGGAAUUGCUGGGUCAUGGGUCUAAGAAACCACCAAACAGUUCUUCAAACCAGUUGUAUUUUACACUCCCCCGAGCAUGUACGAAUGUCCUAGUUGCUUCACAUCUUUACCAAAUUAACCAUAGCAACAGAGUGUGUUCCUGCUGAAGAGAUGACUGCAUCAUGAGCCGGGACUGUGAUGGGUGUGCCAUCCUGCGUUACCAUUGUGAUAGUAUUGCCAAUGGCUUGCAUGUCAGCUUGAGAUAUGUUGACCUGCAAUAAAAAUGUGUUUUACAA